CCCUUAGAUGUCCUGGGCCGCACGCGCGUUACACUGAUGCAUUCAACGAGCUUAUAACCUUGGCCGAGAGGCCUGGGCAAUCUUGUUAACGUGCAUCGUGAUAGGGAUAGAUUAUUGAAAUUAUUAAUCUUGAACGAGGAAUUCCUAGUAAACGCAGAUCAUCAAUCUGCAUUGAUUACGUCCCUGCCCUUUGUACACACCGCCCGUCGCACCUACCGAUUGGAUGGUCCGGUGAAGUCUCCGGACCUGGUCUCGAAUCUACGAUGGCCGGGGAAGUUGAGUAAACCUUACCAUUUAGAGGAAGGUGAAGUCGUAACA
rnacentral:rRNA from 1 species